rfam:Crocosphaera watsonii WH 8501 ctg237, whole genome shotgun sequence.
GCCACGUUAGCUCAGUUGGUAGAGCACAUCACUCGUAAUGAUAAGGCCGCGAGUUCAAGUCUCGCACGUGGCU